rnacentral:rRNA from 1 species
CUCGUAGGCGGUUCGUCGCGUCCGGUGUGAAAGUCCAUCGCUUAACGGUGGAUCUGCGCCGGGUACGGGCGGGCUGGAGUGCGGUAGGGGAGACUGGAAUUCCCGGUGUAACGGUGGAAUGUGUAGAUAUCAGGAGGAAUACCGGAGGCGAAGGCGGCCUGCUGGACAAAUACUGACGCUGAGGCGCGAAAGCGUGGGGAGCAAACA